UACAGAGGGUGCAAGCGUUGUUCGGAAUUAUUGGGCGUAAAGGGCGCGUAGGCGGUGCGGUAAGUCCGCAGUGAAAUCUCUGGGCUCAACUCAGAGUCUGCUGUGGAAACUGCCGUGCUUGAGUGUGGGAGAGGUGAGUGGAAUUCCGGGUGUAGUGGUGGAAUGCGUAGAGAUCCGGAGGAACACCAGCGGCGAAGGCGGCAUCCUGGACUGGUCCUGACACUCAUGAGCGAAAGCGUGGGGAGCGAUCCGG
rnacentral:rRNA from 1 species